rnacentral:rRNA from 1 species
UACGGAGGGUGCAAGCGUUAAUCGGAAUUACUGGGCGUAAAGCGCACGCAGGUGGCUGAGAAAGUCGAUUGUGAAAGCCCUGGGCUUAACCUGGGAAUUGCAGUCGAAACUACUCGGCUAGAGUAUGGGAGAGGGUAGUGGAAUUCCCGGUGUAGCGGUGAAAUGCGUAGAUAUCAGGAGGAACACCGGCGGCGAAGGCGGCACUCUGGGCCGGUACUGACGCUGAGGAGCGAAAGCGUGGGUAGCAAACAGG